AACGCUGGCGGCACGCUUAACACAUGCAAGUCGAACGGAGUUAUGGAGCUUGCUUUGAUAAACUUAGUGGCGGACGGGUGAGUAACACGUGAGCAAUCUGCCCUUAAGAGGGGGAUAGCAGUUGGAAACGACUGAUAAUACCGCAUAAGAUAGUAGUACCGCAUGGUACAGCUAUAAAAGAUUUUAUCGCUUAAGGAUGAGCUCGCGUCUGAUUAGCUAGUUUGGUGAGGUAACGGCUCACCAAGGCAACGAUCAGUAGCCGGACUGAGAGGUUGGACGGCCACAUUGGGACUGAGACACGGCCCAGACUCCUACGGGAGGCAGCAGUGGGGAAUAUUGCACAAUGGAGGAAACUCUGAAUGCAGCGAUGCCGCGUGAGGGAAGAAGGUUUUAGGAUUGUAAACCUCUGUUGACAGGGACGAUAAUGACGGUACCUGUUGAGGAAGCUCCGGCUAACUACGUGCCAGCCGCCGC
rnacentral:rRNA from 1 species